UAAAGUAUGGUUGCUGAGAAUAUGAGAGUUCCCACACUUUCAAACCUUUCUCCAUGUUCUUUAUACUUGACAUUGUUUGAGGACAAACAAGGAUCUAAGUCUAGGAGAAUUGAUAUAUGGUGUUUUAUACAUCUUGUAUAUAUGCUUUUCAAUUGGUUUUCAAGUCUUUAUCGAGUCUUCCUAGUCCUUUUCGAGUCAUUACAGGUCUGGAGAUGCAUUGGAUGGCAGAUGGACCAGCUGGAGGAAAAGAGGCAGCAAAUAGUGC